rnacentral:lncRNA from 1 species
GGAAGUGUUGUGACCAUUUAUCAUACACUCAAAGAUCAAAGUGAUUAUUACCCUUAAGGCAUUCUUUAGUUGAAGAGAAAGAGACACUAUAAUUAUAUGUAGUAUAUUGUGGAUCAUAGCUAAUUAUUCAAUAAAAAUUUAAUCAAACUUAUUACUUAAUUCAUAAAAAAUAAUAGCUAAUUGAGAUAUAAUAUUAAAAUAUCCAAAGAGGAUAGUAAAACGAACAUAAUUUGACCCUCCAGUUUGUGAAAAAACAAACUGUAUGGGCUUUAUGUAAUUUUAUUAUUCCAUUAAUUAUUUAUUCAUUUUCCAUACACAAUAAACAAAGCUUAAGAGGCUUUGUCUCAUUACAAACAUGCAUAUGGUAUAUAGUUAUAAUGAAACUUGCUCAUUCAAAUGAGCUCUAGUUAACAUUCAUUACAGUCUUGCUCGUAAUCAUCGCAAGUACACCGCUUAGGUUGUUUGCAAGUACAGUAUUUGCAAGUUGAUUCACAGGUUUCUACAAUAUCUAGACAUUGGCACAUAAUAGGAAUCCAUUCAACAUAGAACCAUUCAACAUUCUUACAGCACCUGUUGGUUGUCGAGUUGACAUCAUUGGAGGAGAUCACUUGAGUGAUGAAGGAUUUUGAAUCAAAACGAGCAUCAAUAGUUGCAAUGAAGCUUAAGAGGAAAAUCAACAUAGCUAACUUUAUCAUUGUCUUCUUGUUCAUCAAGCCCAUUAUUACUCUCUUUAUAUCUUUCUGUUUAAUAUCUCUAAUUUAUUUGACUUGUGAAGAGCCAACCAUGUCUGGCUCUAUUUAUAAUGGAGUGCAAUAAGGGCUAUAAGGGUCUUGUUUUUCAAUUCAUAGGAGGUAUACCACAUAUUAUAAAGUAGAAUAUGAUAAUAAUGCUAUUUUUAUACAAGUUUCAUUUUCAUAUUUUUAUUGUUUAUUUAUUUCCAUUUAUACAUGUGAAAAUUAUUGUUUUUUAUUUUUAUUUCGUAGCCGACUUCUGUUGUCGGAUUAUGGAGAAUCUUAUUCAUAUCUAUCAUAAAAGUCCAGUGGAGGAUUAUUUAAUAAAAAUAAUUAAAUCAAGGAUGACAUACAUUAUAGG